rnacentral:lncRNA from 1 species
ACAGUUUAUCGCUUUAAGACUCAAACCAGGUUUCUCAGACUCCAAAGUCCCUUCGAGAGCCUGCUGGUUCCCUUCUCUGUUCCCCUCCCAAUCCAGCUCAGAGCUUCACCCUUCCCCAAGGAAAUCUGAGACCUGGAUGUGGAGUAGAAAAAGGAAGUGGCAGAAAAGGAAGAAGAUAACUGAUACUUGGGGAAAACUAUUAGUCCUGGGCAUGAGAUGUGGGCCACCUACCCGCAGGGGGAGUGACCAAGAGUGAGGAGAGUUUGAGGACCAGAGAAUCCCACAGGAAGGGGGAGAGCAAAUUCCAUAUUCAUCUAAACUUCACAGGCAGUGUGACAGCCAAGGGAAGGGGUGUGACGGUGGCGUUGGGGGCCUGAGCAAAAGCGAGGAGAGGGCGGGAAAGGACGGACCGGCGGGAGCGACAGGACAGCGCGACCCAGGCAAAGGGUAGGAGGCAGCCCCGGAAGAGAGGACCUGCGGGAGACGCGACCCAAGCGGCGCUUCGGGGCCUCCCGCGUAGUUGGCUAGCUUCUGGGCCGGCCCCAGGAGCCGGGCUUCAGGAGAAAGAGAAGGGUAGAGGGAUUCACUGCCCGACCUAAAGGGCCCAAGCCUGAACCCGAGACCAGAAACUAUCAAGACGGGCUCCAAAACUCCGGGACAGUUGUCAAGCAGCAGGUGGGGAAACUGAGGCCUGAAGUGACCGGGACUGCGGGGUCAUCUGACCGAUAAGGCCUGGGUUCUUCGUGUACUGGGCAGUCCUAACUCGCAGCCGCGCGUCAUCACCCGCAUUUCAUAGAUGAAAAAACUGAGUCUCGGGAAACUCACUCAAGGUCAAAAACUUUGUGAGGAGCAGAGCUCAUAAGAGCCCGCGGUCUCCAGAACCCCACAACAACAUCUGAAAAUAUGAGAGCAGCCGCCUCACCCGCAACAGGGGGAGCCCCUCCUGCCACCAGGGGACCGUCGCCGCCCCUCGCGAGAAG